GAUGAAGAACGCAGCGAAAUGCGAUAAGUAAUGUGAAUUGCAGAAUUCAGUGAAUCAUCGAAUCUUUGAACGCACAUUGCGCCCGCCAGUAUUCUGGCGGGCAUGCCUGUUCGAGCGUCAUUUCAACCAUCAAGCCCCCGGCUUGUGUUGGGGACCUGCGGCUGCCGCAGGCCCUGAAAACCAGUGGCGGGCUCGCUAGUCACUCCGAGCGUAGUAAUACAUCUCGCUCAGGGCGUGCUGCGGGUUCCGGCCGUUAAAAAAGCCUUAUUUACCCAAGGUUGACCUCGGAUCAGGUAGGAAGACCCGCUGAACUUAAGCAUAUCAAUAAGCGGAGGG
rnacentral:misc_RNA from 1 species